rnacentral:lncRNA from 1 species
AUUAUUCGUCCUGCCUGGACCGAGAUGGAAACCAGCAGCACAGUUUUUGGAAGAACAGCCUUUGCCCAUUUUCACUGGCAAGGCCCAUGCACAAAAGGGAUGAUUGACAAGGCAGGCGUGGGAAACGUAUUUCUGCAAAGAUGAGUUUCUGCCAAUCAGAGGCCGGAGCAGAUUCCCCCCCACACACACACACCUCAGUCCGGACUGAACUUCAACCCCGUUGAAUCACAACUGACAAGCGCCUGGAUGCAAACUCUAUCAGAAGGAAGAGGCUGCCAUGACUAGAAUGUUCUCUUCGGAAAAAUAAAACGGCAGCUCUCACUGGCAACGAAAACAAGGAAGACAGAAAAGGACUUAAGAUUCCUUGUUAAAAGAAUAUGCAUGCAAACUACAAAGAAUUGGGUUUAGUGAUGUAAUACUAAGAAAAGGAGAUUCCCUGAUCCUAACAGAGAGACAGAGAAGCAAUUACACAGAAACCUGAUCAUGCCACCUCCCCGAAUCACCUUUAUUCUUCAGUUAGUUGGAAAGCUACUGCUUGAUCAAGAACAAUCGAAUCUUCCACUGUCUUCCAUCUCUCAAAAAAAGGGGGAGAAUAAUCGGAACUGCACCCUUUCUUAAAAGGAGUUCCUAUCUAGUUUUCUCCCCUAAGAAUCCUGUGAGAUACGUCUGAGAAAUUUCCUGACAUUUAGAACAAUUAAUCAAUGGAACAACUUGCCUCCAGAAGAUGUGUGUUCCCCAAUGUGGAGGUUUUUAAGAAGAGAUUUGUCUGAAAUGGUAUAGGGCAGGGGUCCCCAACCGCCGGUCCGCGGACCGAUACCGGUCCGCGGAACAAGUCUUACCGGGCCGCUGGUUGCUGGGCGUCGC